CCAUUGGUGGUUCAGUAGUAGGAUUCUCACCUUUCAUGUGGGAGAUCUGGGUUUGAGUCCCGGCCAACGCA
rnacentral:tRNA from 1 species